rnacentral:rRNA from 1 species
GACGAACGCUGGCGGCGUGCUUAACACAUGCAAGUCGAACGGAAGGGCCCUGCUUUUGUGGGGUGCUCGAGUGGCGAACGGGUGAGUAACACGUGAGUAACCUGCCCUUGACUUUGGGAUAACUUCAGGAAACUGGGGCUAAUACCGGAUAGGAGCUCCUGCUGCAUGGUGGGGGUUGGAAAGUUUCGGCGGUUGGGGAUGGACUCGCGGCUUAUCAGCUUGUUGGUGGGGUAGUGGCUUACCAAGGCUUUGACGGGUAGCCGGCCUGAGAGGGUGACCGGCCACAUUGGGACUGAGAUACGGCCCAGACUCCUACGGGAGGCAGCAGUGGGGAAUAUUGCACAAUGGGCGGAAGCCUGAUGCAGCAACGCCGCGUGCGGGAUGACGGCCUUCGGGUUGUAAACCGCUUUCGCCUGUGACGAAGCGUGAGUGACGGUAAUGGGUAAAGAAGCACGGGCUAACUACGUG